AGCAUGAUUGCUGGGUCAUAUGAUAAGAAUAUAUUUCUGUUUUUAAGAAUCUACCAAACUGCCUUUCAACAUGACUAUACCGUUUUGCAUUCCCACCGGUAAU
rnacentral:pre_miRNA from 1 species